rnacentral:rRNA from 1 species
GACGAACGCUGGCGGCGUGCUUAAUACAUGCAAGUCGAACGGAAAGGCCCUGCUUUUGUGGGGUGCUCGAGUGGCGAACGGGUGAGUAACACGCGAGUAACCUGCCCUUGACUUUGGGAUAACUCCAGGAAACUGGGGCUAAUACCGGAUAGGAGCUCCUGCUGCAUGGUGGGGGUUGGAAAGUUUCGGCGGUUGGGGAUGGACUCGCGGCUUAUCAGCUUGUUGGUGAGGUAGUGGCUUACCAAGGCUUUGACGGGUAGCCGGCCUGAGAGGGUGACCGGCCACAUUGGGACUGAGAUACGGACCAGAAUCCUACGGGAGGCAGCAGUGGGGAAUAUUGCGCAGUGGGCGGAAGCCUGAUGCAGCAACGCCGCGUGCGGGAUGACGGCCUUCGGGUUGUAAACCGCUUUCGCCUGUAACGAAGCGUGAGUGACGGUAAUGGGUAAAGAAGCACCGGCUAACUACGUG